GGAGUUUUAGCUACAGCAACACCGGAUGGUUGCUGGAGCUACUGGACAACACUGGGCCACCUUCAUAAUCACAGGCGGCGGAUCAGAAUCGACGCACAUGGAACGGAAAAUCGUGUCAUCAACAAAUCUGUCGCAUAUCCAUCCGCCCGUGACGGAUGGAGAGCCCCCCCACCGACCGAAGUGGGAGGAGGAGGACAACCCAUUUGGCUUCGUCCACAUUUCAUGAAAUGUUCCCCUUUCUCACCACAGAAACCUCCUCAACCCAACAGCGUGAACGAGAGAGCGGAGAGAGACUUUCUUCUUCUUCCUGGGCACUCGACCAACAUCGUCCUUGCUGCAGGUGGAUGUGUGUGUGUGUAGAGAGAGAGAAACACACACACUCUACUACUACGACUGUACUACUACCAGAUCCGUAUCGGACGUUGUCGAGUCGCCAUAUUUAUUACCAACCAAGAUCUACGACGUCCUUGCCAACGACUGAAAUGUUGUUGUCUGACCACAUAGACUUCCUUCUCUCCCAUAGCCUAGUUUUGUUUGGUUAGUAGAAAAUUUUCAAAUUUCGCGGGGGAAAAUUAAGAAAAAAAAAUAAUCUUUUCAAUUUCUUCCGGUCGGAUUGGCCAAACGCAAGUGGAACGCACGCAGAUAAAAAACGGACGUUGUUGGACGUCCAUCACGUUUUUGCCUCGUUGUAUUGGCCUCAUUUGGACAAUUUUUCUUUUUGAAAAAAGUUGUCGAAUCAUGUUCGUUUUUUCUCUUCUUGUAGUCACGUGAUUUUUUUUUUGUUAGACACACACACGCAGCACAGCGAUGCACAUCGUCAUCGUCUCCAGGUUUAAUUGUCCGAACACAGACACACACACACAGGAGAGAGAGAGAAUUCCGCCCGGAGCUCUUUUUUGUUCGACUGCGCAUCGAACGCACGAAAAACGGGAGAGAAGAAUUGUCUAUUCGCUCACGCACAACCCACCCACCCACCACCCACAGCAGCAGCUUUUUUUUUUUCGCCUGGUGGUGAAAAUGUAGGCCAAAGCGUUGUGCAGUUCGUUGCACUUUUGCUUUCCUCUUCUUUUUCCGUCUCUCCUUUUAGUAUGUACGCCCUGGUUUUUUUUUUCUUCUUGUAAAAAAAAUAUUUUUUUAUUAUUAUUGUUAUUAUCUUUUCGGCGUCGUUCAAAAAAUUUCGCCUUGCGGUUUUUUUUUUCUUCCCGUAAAAAUUUUCUCUUUUUUUUUCUUCUUCUUUCCAGCGAAAUUAAAUUUUCUGAAUUUUUUUAAAUAUGUAUUAUUUUUUUGUGUAGCGUAAUACUGUCCAUUUUUUUUUGAAGGGGGAAGUGUUGAAAUGUAGGUCACUAAAUGAGAAUGUCGACAGCAUCGAAAACUACAACUUCCGUCGUGUCCGGAAUUGCAUAAGACGUCGAUAGCUGCUGCUGCAAUGUCCUCCAAUUUGAACUAACGAUGAAUUAAAAGAAAGAUUCUUCUGGACCGGAAAGCUUGGAAAUUUACACUCUUCGAGGUGUGUGUCUGUGUAUUCAAGAGGAGAGAUUGCACCACACACUGGCAAGAAGAAGAAGAAGACCAAGAAGUAGGUCAACUUCCUAUAAGCCCCCAGUCCAGCGUUGCGCAACACACGCGCUGUGUCUGCGUGUGUGUAAAGCUCUAGGCAGUGUGUGUGUGUGUGUGUGUGAGCUGUCCUAUUCUUCUUGGUAUGUGUGUCCACAUCCGGCCGGAUCGCGUCUUUUCCACUACAAUUGCCUGUCGUCUUAGAUGGCGCUGUUAUAAAAAUCCCCCCGGAAAAAUCAAACGCGACAAGAAGAAGCAGAAAUAGAAAAAGAAGAAAAAGAACGCGGUGUAGGACCCCCCUGAAAAA
rnacentral:lncRNA from 1 species